AACACACGCCAGUGGGUACAGGUAGAUGUAUAACACACGCCAGUGGGUACAGGUAGAUGUAUAACACACGCCAGUGGGUACAGGUAGAUGUAUAACACACGCCAGUGGGUACAGGUAGAUGCAUAACACACGCCAGUGGGUACAGGUAGAUGCAUAACACACGCCAGUGGGUACAGGUAGAUGCAUAACACACGCCAGUGGGUACAGGUAGAUGUACAACACACGCCAGUGGGUACAGGUAGAUGUAUAACACACACCAGUGGGUACAGGUAGAUGCAUAACACAUGC